GGUGCUGUGGCUUAGAUGGUUAAAGGGCAUGUCUAGUAAACAGGAGAUCCUGGGUCCAAAUCCCAGCAGUGCCU
rfam:Oryzias latipes DNA, chromosome9, strain: Hd-rR.